UACAGAGGUCUCAAGCGUUGUUCGGAUUCAUUGGGCGUAAAGGGUGCGUAGGCGGCGCCGUAAGUCGGAUGUGAAAUCUUCGGGCUCAACCCGGAAACUGCAUUCGAUACUGCGGUGCUUGAGGACUCGAGAGGAGAUCGGAAUUCACGGUGUAGCAGUGAAAUGCGUAGAUAUCGUGAGGAAGACCAGUGGCGAAGGCGGAUCUCUGGAGAGUUCCUGACGCUGAGGCACGAAGGCCAGGGGAGCAAACAGG
rnacentral:rRNA from 1 species